GACGUAGGGCGCGAGCGUUGUCCGGAUUUAUUGGGCGUAAAGAGCUCGUAGGCGGUGUGUCGCGUCGGCCGUGAAAACCUGCAGCUUAACUGUGGGCUUGCGGUCGAUACGGGCAUCACUGGAGUUCGGCAGGGGAGACUGGAAUUCCUGGUGUAGCGGUGAAAUGCGCAGAUAUCAGGAGGAACACCGGUGGCGAAGGCGGGUCUCUGGGCAACAACUGACGCUGAGGAGCGAAAGCGUGGGGAGCGAACAGG
rnacentral:rRNA from 1 species